rnacentral:lncRNA from 1 species
UCCUGACCGAGUGAACAUCCCCCUCCCGGAUCACGCGAGUUCUCCUGAUCGGAUUCUCCUGACCGAGUGAACGUCCCCCUCCCGGAUCACGCGAGUUCUCCUGAUCGGAUUCUCCCGACCGAGUGAACGUCCCCCUCCCGGAUCACGCGAGUUCUCCUGAUCGGAUUCUCCUGACCGAGUGAACGUCCCCCCCCGGAUCACGCGAGUUCUCCUGAUCGGAUUCUCCUGACCGAGUGAACGUCCCCUCCCGGAUCACGCGAGUUCUCCUGAUCGGAUUCUCAUGAUCAGCCCUCAGUGUCUGACCCAGGCUGUCACAACUUGCCAACAUGAACCCUGUGGUCAGAGCCCUCUGACCACUGACACCACAUGUGCUUCCCCACAUCCAUGUCCCUGUGGCCUUUCCCCCCGGGAGCUCUUACCACGGGGUGGGGGCUUGACCUUGAAGGACACCACUGCAGCAAGCAGCGCCAGCCUGGCGGGCCAUAAGCCAGCACCCCACGGGUCGCACCCUUCCUCUCUGCUCCUUCCCCAAGGCCAGCUCCAUAAAAGCUCUCUGGAGCCCUUCACGGCUGUGUGUCAUCUCUGCAGAGCCUCUAUGGCCGUGUGGCUGGUAUCCAGCAUGCUUAGCAACCCUCUCGUCGGAAUGGACGCCAGCUGCUGGCGCGGGCCCUGCCGGCCCAGGUGUGGAGAGGGCACUCAUGGACCCAGCACCAGCUCCUGAUGCAUCACCAAGAGCCUCUCAGCUCCACAUCCCUGCACCAGAUGGAGGCUCGCAGGGCAGAGAGCUCACCAGCUCAGCAAGGCCAUGUUCAUGGUAUGGCGAAGGUCGCCAUCUGCUUCCCGCCCAUUCUGAUGCUCUCAGUCACAACCCUGCGUCCUCCAGGCAGCUCUGCACUCAUGCAGGCUGAGGCACCUCCACACUGACUCCACAAGGACUCAGCGAAGAAUUGUGAGUAGAUAGAUGGUGCCUAACGCAUGAGAGAGUGGUGAGGGACACGCAUGUCACCCCGUGCAGCCGUGAGCCAGGAGCAUGAGCUCGAAGGAUGCUGAGGGAGACGGCAGUGGAGGGGCUUUCAGAAAAUGGGCAGUGGAGCCAACCGAGAGCAUUGUCAGAGGGUGACAGCACUGUCCCGGGAGGGCGUUUGCACGUGUGAGUGGCAGGGACCAGGACAGGGACCAC